AUGGGUGCUCGACGGCACGCUGUAGACCAGGAGGAGGAUCUCCUGGUGGAGCUUGGCAGAAGCAAGACACUUGGAUGUAACUUCAGUACAGCACAACAUUGUUUUAUUAUUAUUAUUGAGAAUUUGUUUUGUGGUGUAGGAGCUUUCAAGACAACAUGGGGCAGCAGGCUUCAUGUUCAGGAUUCGUGUAGUAGCACACUGAUAUUUGUUAUGUGGUACAGGAGCUUCGAGACAACAGGGGUAGCAGGCUUCAAGGCAACAAUUUUUUCUAUGAUUUUCUCACCAAAUCUGAAAUUAUUUGGCCCCUAA
rnacentral:rRNA from 1 species